rnacentral:misc_RNA from 1 species
UCUCUCUGUAAACCCUAAGCUCACCUCUUUUGAUUUCACUGUCCACAAUGCUCUGUUCCAUUUCUACCCAGAAAUCGGCUGGUUCAAACUGGCUAGACCGGCUCCGAUCAUCAAAAGGCUUCUCCUUUGCCGACAACCGCAAUCUCGAACAAUUUCUCACUCACCAGACUCCUAAUGGAUCUGAUUCUCUUCCUUCCAGCACCGAAACUGAGAUAAGAGACAGUAAUAAUAAGGAUAAUACCGGUUCGGAAUCCAGCUCCGAUCCAAUUCGGCCCGUGAACGAAUCGGUUCUCCCUCGGGACCAAGCUCCGG